UCUCCGUUGGUGAACCAGCGGAGGGAUCAUUACAGAAGUCUUUUUUGACUCCUAAACCAAUGUGAACUUACCUUUGUUGUUGCUUCGGCAGGCCGCCCCUUGGGAGGGGAUCAAACGGGCUGCCGAAGGUUUUUAAAAACUCAAUGUUUUAGUUAUCUUCUGAGCACUAAAGAAAUAAAUCAAAACUUUCAACAACGGAUCUCUUGGCUCUAGCAUCGAUGAAGAACGCAGC
rnacentral:misc_RNA from 1 species